GGCUUCUUUCCUACUUGCUGAUUCCUACUUGGCAACACUCAUGCAGUGGAAAUUUCUCCCAGGUUGAAGGAGGAGGCCAGGCCAGGGAAUCAGGAUCUAUGAGGACCUCUGCUGUGUCUCUCUGGAUGAGCUGAGUCACCUCUCUGAUCUGUGUUUCCCUCUUCAGUCACACAAGGGGACUGAGUUAGCUCAAACAUUGCUCUGUGAGCACCGUGGGACAGAGUAUGCGACAAGAUGAGAAUAUUUGUUAUUCAGAAAAACACUGUGUAAAGGAUUAUAUGGUCUGGAAGCCCACACUGGCCACACCAUGGCUCAGCAUGCCCUGCCACACCACCCACCAGCCUCUGUUGCCCUGGAGAGACCAUCUCUUCUUCCUUCCUGUCACCUCUACUCCCAGCCUUCACC
rnacentral:lncRNA from 1 species